rnacentral:miRNA from 1 species
CUGUCCAGCCUGCUAGCUUGCC